UAGGGAAGUCUUCCACAAUGGGCGCGAGCCUGAUGGAGCAACGCCGCGUGAGUGAAGAAGGUCUUCGGAUCGUAAAACUCUGUUGUUAGAGAAGAACAUGCAGGAGAGUAACUGUUCUUGUAUUGACGGUAUCUAACCAGAAAGCCACGGCUAACUACGUGGCAG
rnacentral:rRNA from 1 species